UAGGGAAUCUUCGGCAAUGGACGAAAGUCUGACCGAGCAACGCCGCGUGAGUGAAGAAGGUUUUCGGAUCGUAAAACUCUGUUGUUAGAGAAGAACAAGGACGUCAGUAACUGAACGUCCCCUGACGGUAUCUAACCAGAAAGCCACGGCUAACUACGUGCCAGCAGCCGCGGUAAUACGCAGGUGGCAAGCGUUGUCCGGAUUUAGUGGGCGUAAAGCGAGCGCAGGCGGUUUCUUAAGUCUGGUGUGAAAGCCCCCGGCUCAACCGGGGAGGGUCAUUGGAAGCUGGGGGACUUGAGUGCAGAAGAGGAGAGUGGAAUUCCAUGUGUAGCGGUGAAAUGCGUAGAUAUAUGGAGGAACACCAGUGGCGAGGGCGGCUCUCUGGUCUGUAACUGACGCUGAGGCUCGAAAGCGUGGGGAGCAAACAGG
rnacentral:rRNA from 1 species